GACUAGUUCUGAAAACUAACGUUUCCCCCCGUCUCAUCAAUUAACCCUAUAAAUUCAGGUAUGUAAUGUGCAAAAUUGCAAUAUGACUCAAAUUAUUGAUGUAGCAUGGUUAAUUACAUAGUUCAUGAGUUUGAUGGUGUUCAAGGAAUAUGUGAAAAACUAGUUGGCAUUUUCCCCAUUGUAAGUAAUGUAGUUAGGCUAGGUUGCUAAUGGUCUACUUUUUAAAAUAUAUUAUUAUAUAUUUUUUAAAUGAGCUUUUUCGAAAUUGCCACUGAUAUCUAUUAUGAUAUCGAAUAUGAAAUGAUUGCAUAUACUGUAGUAUAAGAAAAGUGUGAUUGACUUCGGGGUUUUCUAUUGCUGUUUUUGUAUAACGUACUUUGAGGUCACUGAUACUCCACCUGAUGUGGUGGAAGUGUCGAACCAGAUCAGAACGCCUUCGAAGACCACCUUCAGGCGCGGACUUAAAAAACUUCCACAUCCUUUUACCAGGUGAGACUGAACAUGGACAGGGUACAUGAGAAAACGGAGAGCCACCGGAGUAGAAUCAAGGUGACCAAGAGGUUCGACAUCUGGGCAAAUGACUUAGCUUGAAAGGAAGACGAGACCCGGGAAAGCUUGGUGCUUCUAGCUGGGGUCACCAUCCGUUAUUAAGGUGAAUAUACAAAUCUCAGAUAACUAUUUUCAUUUGCCAUCUCGUGGUGUGCGGCAUUGCCAUGUUGUCAGCAGUACCAACACUGGCCCAGGGGGUUCUCCAAAUAGUCAAUCUCAAGGCUAACUACUGGGUCACGCUGAGUAACCGCCACUUCCAGUGUACGAAAGACUGAUGAGAGUAAAUAUUAGUUAAUUAUAGGAGAGCUGUAGCUCCGGCAACCGGUGAUGUGGAGCAGAGCAUGCUGGGCGAUCUCUAACUAAGGAGUAGGAAGUAACUAGAGAGAGUACACAAGCCGUGAUAAAUUCCAGCCAUCUCAUGUGAUUACCCCCAGUUAGCAUUCUUUGUUUUAGCCAAGGCCAGUGGGUGUCCUUCAGAAAUAACCACACAAACUCUUAGUUAACACAGUUGUCAAGCCAUACUGUGCUGUAUUUGCUCUGUUUAAUCAGCGUCAUUAAACAACCUCAACUGGCCUAUCAUCCGUGCCCUUACAAGCACCUGUGCUACGUAAAGUCCUCAACUACAUCCAGGACCUAGGAGUUAUGCCCAACACCCAGACAUGGAUCCACCUGAUGUCCUCCAUUACCAACCACACUCCAACUUUCCAUUACAUCAGCUACUGUUAUUGUCAUUAUCUGCUAAGAAAAAGCAAGCCAACUAUCAUACUGGGCUCAUUAUGUGAGAUACACAGAUUAGCUUAAAACACUAGCACUGCAAACACUCAGAACAAAGAGGGGAGCAGCGCCUGGAUUUUGCGGUCUCCUUCUUUGAGUCCACCUUCCAAGACGGACGACCUGUUGAAAACAAGUGACAGGCAGAACCUCCCAUCCACACAAUACCCACCUCCUCUCUGUUCCACACACCAGAAUUCAGCAUUUCAGUCUAUGAUUGCCAUGUGAGUGUACAAAAAAAUAAGUAAAUUGACACAUGUACCUAUAAAAUAUUGCCAGAUUGUUUUUUAUAGCUGUUUCA
ensembl:lncRNA